AGGCACCUACGGGGGCCUUCAACAUAGCCGGGCCAAAGACAAGAACCUAAGGCCUGGCACGCUAAACGGAAGACAGAAA
ncrna:Leisingera sp. ANG-S5 L2-Alphaproteobacteria ribosomal protein leader